rnacentral:rRNA from 1 species
UACAGAGGGUGCAAGCGUUAAUCGGAAUUACUGGGCGUAAAGGGCGCGUAGGCGGCCUUCUAAGUCGAACGUGAAAUCCCCGGGCUCAACCCGGGAACUGCGUCCGAUACUGGAAGGCUUGAAUCCGGGAGAGGGAUGCGGAAUUCCAGGUGUAGCGGUGAAAUGCGUAGAUAUCUGGAGGAACACCGGUGGCGAAGGCGGCAUCCUGGACCGGCAUUGACGCUGAGGCGCGAAAGCCAGGGGAGCAAGCGGG